GACUGAGCACUGAUCAUCUCAUUUAUUAGAAUCUGCAGAAAUAUUUAAACCCUCAGUUGGGCAAUGGACUAUGAUUGGAAACUUAACUUAUCCACGGACGGAGCAUGUUGUUGUCACUGUUACAGAUGGAGUAUUUGUUAUUGGUGGUCCGAAUAAUCCUACGGGGAAGGUUGAAAAGCUUGACUUGAAUAAUUUGACCUGGAUUGAUACUGGACUAACAUUUAUCUCUAACCCUGUGAAUGAAAUUGGUGCAACAGCAAUUCCUGUAGAUAUUGUUCCUCCUUAAAUAAGAUUUAUUAGUCAAGUUAAACAGUCCAGAGCCGAGAUUUAAAAGUUAAACAUGAGUAAACCUGUUGGCGAAUUUCUUGGUAGAAAUCGAUCCGGGUUUUAUGAGAACAAGACUCAACAUUGAGUCUUAUUCUCCAAUAAAACCAACCAAGGUCGGUUUUAUUCUCAUAGGGCCUAACUAAGUCCAGCCGAAGAGCUUGCAGCUGUCAAUCACGUGACACAGGCUGUCAUAGAGUUGGGUCUUAAAGUCGGGUUUCUGGUCAUAUCAUCUGCUAAGACCCAAGUAAAGUUCAACUCGAGACUUCGGUUUUGGAUGGCCUUAAGUUUAUCAAAAUCCAAUCGUUUUUGGUUUUUGCUCUUUAAAGUUUGAGUCUUCAAAAUCUGAUGAACGUAAAUUUCGUAAGAACCAUUAUAUUGGACAUUUAAAAUCUUGGGAAUUAUUUGCAGUGUCAAAUUUAAGCAAAGGUUU